UCCAAGCGGUGGGAGGUUAGGAUUUAUCUGAGAUUGGAGCGGUGAGUUGAGACAGCUGCCAGGAAGGGAAUGCAUCACCAAAUUGCUGAAUAAGCCGUGACAGAUAGAGAGCAGCUUAAAAGAAACAAAAACUGGGUGGUGGCCAAAAGGAAACAAUCUGAUCUCCUUAAUCAAUAAGGCCGAGAGAAAACCAGAAGAAUAUAACUACUUAUUACUUUGCUUAUUAUCACCGUGAGAUAAACCAGAGAGAGAGCCGAGGGAGUUGAGAAGAAAAGUUGUCUUCCUUUCUUGUUUUUCUUCCUAAAGCAGACUCGAGUGAGUGAGACGAAGUGUGAGGAAAAAGAAAGUGCAAGCUCCACUAUCAGCUAACUAAGAAACUAUACCAACGAAGGCAAAAGGGAACAGGGAGGUCGAGUGAGGAGUUGGAAUAGCAAUCGAAGCAGUCUGCAACAUUUAAACCUAGGAGGAAGAGGUAAAUGCUAUAACCACUUUCUGUUUAGUUGGUUUAAUCCAUUAAACAUGAGCUAUAUAUGUUGAGUUAGCUAAGAAAUUAGUUCUGGUGCGAGAAACGUAUGCAGAAAUUAUGAAAUUGCAGCAACUAGAAGUUGUAACUGUUUUAAUAUCUUAGGAUGAUAACGUUGAGAAUCUACCAUAACCUUCUGCUUAUUUGGCACAAAUGAGUAUAUAUACAAGCUGCAUGUUAGUUUUAGCAAGGCAUAAUGAGUUUUAAUAGAGGAGAAAUCUGAUAAAGGAGAAAAAGAUGAGAACUGGACAGAAAUGGAGGGAACCGAGAGUUGUUGAGUUGCAGCCCAUAAACAAAGAAAAUUUUCUGUAAAAACCUCUUAGUUAUUCAGUACACUUGAAUAUUAAGGUUGCAUGUUGGAUUGUAGCUAAGAAAAGCUAAGUUUGGUUGAAGGAAAUAGUUGGAAGUUUCUGCUAUGCUGGCCGAAGGAGGAAAGAUAGAAAUGUCCAAGUUUCUUUAUAUAUUUUGGUUCUAAACUCCUACGUUGAAGCUUAGUUCAUUGCAUAAUAUUUUAGUUUUGGCAUGCAUGUUAGAUUUGGGUAUGAAAUGAAGUAGUUAAUGGAGGAAUUUCUUGCUAAAAGAUUGAUUGCUGUCCGAAGCUUUCUAUCAAGGCCGAGAGAGAGAGAGAGUUAAACCUUUGAUCAGUUUUUCCUUCAAACUCCUCUCUGUAAACUUUCACAUCUGAUAUCUAAAGUUACUCGGUAGUUUAAUACUUGUAUUUAGCAUGAUGAGCUGGAGUUAAAACUGAAGGAGUUAUGGUAAAAAUGUUGCAUAUUAAACUGCGGCACUGCUGGAAGCUUUAGUUGUCCAAAGUCUUAGCUGAUGUCAGAUUGUUAUGCGUGGCUGUUGGGUUGAGUAAUCUGUUGAAACUAGAUGCUCUUCAUCUUGGUUUAUGCUGGACUGAAUGUACUUUAAAUAUUUAGAGCUUUAAGCAAGUGAAAGAAUAGCGUUUUGCCGAAAGCUUGAAGUAACGUUACUAGUUUUGGUUGCUGUCCAAGAAAUGAAACAGAUUGUGCUUCUGACCGACCCAUUUUGGCCUUGAAAACGUGACAACUAGGUAUCGAUAUCUUCAUAAGAAAUGUAGGUCUAUAUCUUAGCUUCGAAACGCUAUAAAAUUUGCCUCAAUCCGAUAAGUGUACCUCUAGUUAUGAUCGAAAUACCAGAGGAUGGCAAAGCUGCCUUUCUCGUUGCCUUUCAUUUUGUUUCCGAAUGCACUUGCUAAGAUGCUAGCCGUGAGGAACUAGUUUUAACCAGCAUUUCUUCUAAUUUCCAACCUGUAAGCUUUCAUAAAUGAUAGCUACGAUUGUUCUGAGAAUUAACGACUAUACCUAGUUCCAUAAGUAGAGUUAAACUAAGACGAUUGAGUGAAAACUCACGAUAGUUAUAUACGUAAAGUGGCCUCUAAUUAUUUAAUAUUGUCUUCACAAAUAUUUUAAAGGCUAUAGAAUUUGAGAGGCUAGUGUAGUGAAAUAAAAUUUAAAGUGCACACAACUUAGACCUUGGCUUGUUAAAAGGAGAACCAAUGGAGUAUCUAUAAGUCAUAAUUAAUAUUGGAUUAAGAAAGUAUAUUGGUUUGAACGGUUAUACAAGUUUAUAAACUUGAAGAUAGGUUUGUUUCAUGAAUUAAAAAUAAUAAAGUCAAUAAGUUUCGAAAAUAAAAGAAUGAAUAAAUAUGAAGAAUGUUAAAUUUGUAUUUCAAGGUCAAACUUGAUUUUAAUAGUUUAAAUAAUAAUGUAAGAAUGAUAAAUGAUCAUCUACAGAUUAUAUAGUUACAUUGAAAUUAUUAACUUGUCCCAGGAAAUAGCUGUGGGCCAGGAAACAAACCCGACGCUCGAGAGUAAAUUAUUUGGAUAAUUGGUGAGUGUUCCUUGUUUGUUAUAUUUCCCUUGACUACAUGGCUUAUUGUGAAUAUUUGAUAAUGUGUUAAGUGCUCUCAAUGAUUGCCAAAAGAGUUUUCUAGGCGAGUGUGUACUUUAUCGCACUCGACCUAAAUGAUUGUGACAUUUUCAAUGAUUGAACGAUUGAAACGUUACUUGUGCAUGAAUGUAAGCCUUUUGGCUGAAUUGAGCCCUGCCCUUCGUUACCGAUCGACUCGAGCCAGAAGCGGACUCGGUCGGGCGAUAUGGUGACCCUGGGUGAAUGUUUGGUAUACUCGAGUAUUACCUUGAAGUCUGGUGGAGCCUGGCCAACGUCCAGGAGGGGGUAAAUGAAAUGAAUGAACGAAUAUCAAUGCGAAUGAGGGGUUUUACUUACAAAAAUGCAUUUUCAAAUGAUUGGAGAAAUAAGGGAAUGAAAGGAGAAUGAAUGAAUGAACGAAUGGCUCCUCGUGAGCACGUAUCCUUUUAAUGAAUGUAUUAUUGCUUUAUAUUGUAAAUGUUACUUGAAUUAUUGGUUAUCUAUGGUUAAUGUAUUGAGUUCAUUGUUUAAUUAUGUGAUUGGAACCUCACUGAGGUUUUAGCUCAUCCCUUUAGUUUUGUUUUCCUUAACAGGGGAAGACAAGCAAGGACGAGAGCUCUGUAUAAACUAGUUUAGUCUAGAUCUUUGAAUUUUGUAAUGGUUUUCGCCCUAGCGUUGGCACGGGCUGGAUGUAUAAAGAAUUGAAAAUCUUUGUACUCUUGAAUUCGUACUCCCUUUCGAGAUAGAAAUGCAUAUAAGUUUCACGUUAAAUUUUGGAUUUCGGACUUGCUUUAUUUCGAUUUUUUUUGUGGUUUUAUUUCGGAUUUGUUUGAAGUAUGACUGAGUCCCGGCGAAAGUUGGGCAGGCGGUCCGCCGAACCCUUUGGUUCGCCUUAGGGGGAAGUGGGGUUGUCACAAUAGAGGUUUCAUGUAUUGUUUGAUUACUUAUUAAUUAGUUUAUCAAUUCAAUUAUAUUAAUGAA
rnacentral:lncRNA from 1 species